AUUUAGCUAGUCACAGCAAGCAAAAUGCAAUUUUAGUUUGCACCCCCGAAACUAAGUGAGCUACUUUAAAACAGCCAAAUGGGCCAACUCGUCUCUGUUGCAAAAGAGUGAGAAGAUUUUUAAGUAGAAGUGACAAGCCUAUCGAACUUAGAGAUAGCUGGUUAUUUGGGAAAAGAAUAUUAGUUCUGCCUUAAGCUUUUAUUAACAUCCUUCAAAGCAACUUAAGAGUUAUUCAAAUAAGGUACAGCCUAUUUGAUACAGGAAACAACCUAAAACAUAGGGUAACGCUAACUACAAUUUUUAUAAUUAAGUUGGCCUAAAAGCAGCCAUCUUUUAAAAAGCGUCAAAGCUUAAUUAUUUAAUAACAACAAUCCCAACAAAAAUGCUAAACCCACCACUACUACCAAAUAACUUUAUAUAAUUAUAAAAGAUAUUAUGCUAAAACUAGUAAUAAGAAAAUGACUUUCUCCUAAAUAUAAGUGUAAUGCAGAAUAAACAAAUCACUGCUAAUUACUGUUUUUGAUUAUAUAGUAGCAACCUCUCUAGA
rnacentral:rRNA from 1 species